GCCCUCGUGGAUGAGUUGGCACAUCAUCCACCUUACUUGUGCACUUAUAUCUAUCGCGGCAAGGGGAAGGCGGAGGUUCGAAUCCUCCCAGGGGCU